AUUGAACGCUGGCGGCAGGCCUAACACAUGCAAGUCGAGCGGAUGAGAGGAGCUUGCUCUUCGAUUCAGCGGCGGACGGGUGAGUAAUGCCUAGGAAUCUGCCUAGUAGUGGGGGACAACGUUUCGAAAGGAACGCUAAUACCGCAUACGUCCUACGGGAGAAAGUGGGGGAUCUUCGGACCUCACGCUAUUAGAUGAGCCUAGGUCGGAUUAGCUAGUUGGUAGGGUAAAGGCCUACCAAGGCGACGAUCCGUAACUGGUCUGAGAGGAUGAUCAGUCACACUGGAACUGAGACACGGUCCAGACUCCUACGGGAGGCAGCAGUGGGGAAUAUUGGACAAUGGGCGAAAGCCUGAUCCAGCCAUGCCGCGUGUGUGAAGAAGGCCUUCGGGUCGUAAAGCACUUUAAGUUGGGAGGAAGGGCUCAUAGCGAAUACCUGUGAGUUUUGACGUUACCAACAGAAUAAGCACCGGCUAACUUCGUGCCAGCCGCCGCGGUAA
rnacentral:rRNA from 1 species